rnacentral:rRNA from 1 species
CGUAGGUGGCAAGCGUUGUCCGGAUUUAUUGGGUUUAAAGGGUGCGUAGGCGGUCUUAUAAGUCAGUUGUGAAAUAUGGCAGCUUAACUGUCAAGGUGCAAUUGAUACUGUAAGACUUGAGUAUUGUUGAGGUAGGCGGAAUGGACGGUGUAGCGGUGAAAUGCUUAGAGAUCGUCCAGAACACCGAUAGCGAAGGCAGCUUACUAAAGAAUAACUGACGCUGAGGCACGAAAGUGUGGGGGAUCAAACAGGAUU